rnacentral:rRNA from 1 species
UGGGGGAUAUUGCACAAUGGGGGAAACCCUGAUGCAGCAACGCCGCGUGAGGGAAGAAGGUCUUCGGAUUGUAAACCUAAGUAGUCAGGGACGAAUAAAUGACGGUACCUGAAGAGUAAGCUCCGGCUAACUACGUGCCAGCAGCCGCGGUAAUACGUAGGGAGCGAGCGUUGUCCGGAAUUACUGGGUGUAAAGGGUGCGUAGGCGGGACUGCAAGUCAGACGUGAAAUACCGGAGCUCAACUUCGGGGCUGCGUUUGAAACUGUGGUUCUUGAGUGAAGCAGAGGCAGGCGGAAUUCCUAGUGUAGCGGUGAAAUGCGUAGAUAUUAGGAGGAACACCAGUGGCGAAGGCGGCCUGCUGGGCUUUAACUGACGCUGAGGCACGAAAGCAUGGGGAGCAAACA